rnacentral:rRNA from 1 species
UUGACAUCCAGAGAACUUGGCAGAGAUGCCCUGGUGCCUUCGGGACCUCUGAGACAGGUGCUGCAUGGCUGUCGUCAGCUCGUGUUGUGAAAUGUGGGUUAAGUCCGCAACGAGCGCAACCCCUAUCCUUUGUUGCCAGCGAUUCGGUCGGGAACUCAAAGGAGACUGCCGGUGAUAAACCGGAGGAAGGUGGGGAUGACGUCAAGUCAUCAUGGCCCUUACGAGUAGGGCUACACACGUGCUACAAUGGCGCAUACAAAGAGAAGCGACCUCGCGAGAGCAAGCGGACCUCAUAAAGUGCGUCGUAGUCCGGAUCGGAGUCUGCAACUCGACUCCGUGAAGUCGGAAUCGCUAGUAAUCGUAGAUCAGAAUGCUACGGUGAAUACGUUCCCGGGCCUUGUACACACCGCCCGUCACACCAUGGGAGUGGGUUGCAAAAGAAGUAGAUAGCUUAACCUUCGGGAGGGCGUUUACCACUUUGUGAUUCAUGACUGGGGUGAAGUCGUAACAAGGUAGGCGUAGACGU